GAAGAGUUCUGGUAGAAAAGGGCAUUUUUUUCUUGUUUAAUUAUCUUCAUAAAUGGUAUUGGUUGUCUGUUUUGGGGACAUUUUUCCCUACUGGCAAAGUGUGAUGAUGAUAAUGUACCUCAAAGAUGUUCCUAGUUAUGACUA